ACCUGGAAUUUGUGAUCCUCCUGCCAGGCUUCCAGGUCACUGGGAUUACAGGCGUGCGCCACCAUACCCAGCUUUUCUUAGAGUCUUUCUAGUGACACUAAAAUAUUUACCACAAAAUGGCAUGAUUUUGGCAUUUGCUUCAAAUUAAAAGUGGAGGAAGAUGAAUAGGGAAUAUAAAUGAAGCAGGAUUGGCUGUGAGUUGUUCAUUUUAGCUGAGUGAUGUAUACAGUACAGGGUGGUUCACUUUGCUGUUCAAAUUUUCUGUAAAUUUGAGUUUUUUAUAAUAAAUUACAAAAUUAGACUCAUCUUAGAUAAUACAUGUUUACUGAGAACAGAAGAAAAAAGAACAGUACUAAAAACAUAGAAAGAAAAGACAGAGCCAAAGAAAGAGUAUCCACAAUUCUGCCUGGCCACAUCUAUGUAUUUAUUUUUUGUGUUUUCUUCCAGCCCUACUUAUGAAUAAUGUCUAUAAUUAUGCCAUGAUGCAAUUUUGAUUCCUGUUUCCAUUCUUCUUUUCUGUCUCUUUCAAUAACAAAAGGAAUUAAGACAUUAAAAUAUAACAACAUGGGGGCUGAGGGUGUUGCUCAGGGUAGAACACUUGCUUAACUUGCAGGAGGCCCUGAGUUAAAUCCCCAGCACUGAACAUAACAACAAGAACUUUGUCCUUUCAUGGACAAGGCUCAUAUUCACAAGUGAUCACAUGAAAGAGGCAGUUACUAAGAUAAAGCCAUUUCAUGUAAAAGCUGUUAAAAAUACAUGACUUCCAGAAUAUCGCAUUGUCUUAUCACAUUCCUACUGUGUCUUUUUUGUUGUUGUUGUUGUUGAUUCCUUCCCAUAUUCCUUACAUUGAAGGGUAGGACUUAUUCAAGACUCCAUUCACUUCCUAGGUGCAUUCAACCAAUAUUAUCUAUAAGCCUAAUGACUCUCAAACUUGUGCUAACAAUCUGGCUUUCCUCAUUUCCAGACUAUAUUCAAUGCAACUUGAAUCUCCAUUUAGGAGUCUUAAAAAAAUCUCUCAAAUUUUACGUGUUCAAAAUCGUGUGCUCUUUAGCUACACCCCCACUUACCCACCCAGUCCAAAUGGCAGCCAAGACCAUACUUCCUUCUGACUUCCCAUCUCAGUUAAUAGAAACUCAAUUUUAGUUGUUCAGGCCCAAAUCCUUCAUGUUAUCCUUGAUUAUUCAUAUCUUUCUCUCACUAUAGCUGUCCUUUUUCUGUCAGCUUGAACUUUCAGAAUCCAGGAUUUGAGCACUUUUUACCAUUUCCCCUCUCAAUGAUAUUUCUGUUGCCUGUUGUCUCUUCCCUGCAGAAAAGCAGAGAGUGAGCCUAUGAAAAGAUGUCAGAUCAUGUUGUCUCUCCGCUCCAGUGGCUCUCAAAUGAAGAUGAUCUUACCCUCCCAGGGACUCUUGAUGGUAUCUGAAGAUAGUUUUGAUUACCAGAACUGGUGGGACUAUCAGGGGCUGCUACUGGCAUCAAGUGGGUAGAAGUAAGGGAUGUUAAUAAACAUCAGUCCAGGAUGUAAUCAACACCCCAAGAUGCAUAGAACAGCUCUACACAAAAACAAUUGUUUAGUCCAAAAGCAGUGCUAAACAAAGAGAAGCCCCCGUGUAGCCUUCUGUUGUCAUCACUGCCUGCCCCUCUGAGGAAGAUUGCAGUUCCAAUUCCAAAUGCUCAGGUGACAGAAUCUAAUUGACUAGUUUGUGUCAAGUAUCAAAUGUAGAUCCAAUCUGCUGUGGUCAAGAGUACAGACUCACACACUAUAAACUGCCAGUAUCCUGUUCCAUCAGAAAGGGAGUCCAUGUGAGCCAGCACUGGGACGUCCCUCAGAUGUCUACUGUAGGGACCUUGAGUUAUGUGCUGACUUGUUACACACUCUAACUUGCUUUUGAGCACACUUUGGAAUAAAAUUUUUCUGAAAACUUCCAAAGCACA